rnacentral:rRNA from 1 species
CCCGCUGAACUUAAGCAUAUCAAUAAGCGGAGGAAAAGAACCCAACAGGGAUUGCCUCAGUAACGGCGAGUGAAGCGGCAACAGCUCAAAUUUGAAAUCUGGCCUCCUUGGGGUCCGAGUUGUAAUCAGUAGAGGAUGUUUUGGGUACCGCGCCGGUUUAAAUUUCUUGGAACAGAAAGUCAGAGAGGGUGAGAAUCCCGUCUUGGACCGGCGUAGGGCCCGCGUAAAACUCCUUCGACGAGUCGAGUUGUUUGGGAAUGCAGCUCAAAAUGGGUGGUAAAUUUCAUCUAAAGCUAAAUAUUGGCCACAGACCGAUAGCGCACAAGUAGAGUGAUCGAAAGAUGAAAAGCACUCUGAAAAGAGAGUUAACCAGUAUGUGAAAUUGUUGAAAGGGAAGCGCUUGCAACCAGACUUGCGCGUCGCGCAGGUUCCCCCUUCCUUCUGGUUGGGCUAUUCCGUCCUGUACAGGCCAACAUCGGUUCUGGGGGUCGGUUACAGGCUUGGGGAAUGUAUCUACCCUUCGGGCGUAGACUUAUAGCCCCGAGUGUCAUGCGGUCUCCCGGGACCUACGAACGCGCUCCGGCUCGGAUGUUGGCGUACUGGUUGUCAGCGACCCGUCUUGAAACACGG